rnacentral:rRNA from 1 species
AUUGAACGCUGGCGGCAUGCUUUACACAUGCAAGUCGUACGAGUGGCGAACGGGUGAGUAACGCAUCGGAACUUGCCGAGUAGUGGGGGAUAACUGUCCGAAAGGACAGAUAAUACCGCAUAUUUUUCGAGCUGCCGAUGUCUGAUUAGCGGGUUGGCGGGGUAAGGGCUCACCAAGGCGACGAUCAGUAGCGGGACUGAGAGGAUGAUCAGCCACAUUGGGACUGAGACACGGCCCAGACUCCUCCGGUAGGCAGCAGUGGGGAAUUUUGGACAAUGGGCGCAAGCCUGACCCAGCCAUGCCGCGUGUCUGAAGAAGGCCUUCGGGUUGUAAAGGACUGUUGUCAGGGAAGCGGUACCUGAAGAAUAAGCACCGGCUAACUACGUGCCAGCAGCCGCGGUAAUUC